rnacentral:lncRNA from 1 species
UAGCAGAACAUAAGCCUCGUCUUCUUCAUCGUGGUCGAUGUCGAACUUCAGUUCAUCAGCGGCACCAAGCAAGCUCAUGCCCGGCUCCACUAAAAGUGAACAUCAAACAACAGUAUGUGCACUGCCAUCUCUAUGAGGCACAGCAAAGCACCGAGGCAAAGCCAGUUUGUCUAAGGCAUUGUGAGAAAAGGUAAAGUGCCACCAAGGAGCCAAGCUCGUCGAUGGUACUUCACCAGAAACAUGUGCACAAGCUGGACUCGCCUAUCGCACCAAAGUAAUUACAUAAUUA